CAUAGGUUAAUGAGGCGAACCGGGGGAACUGAAACAUCUAAGUACCCCGAGGAAAAGAAAUCAACCGAGAUUCCCCCAGUAGCGGCGAGCGAACGGGGAGCAGCCCAGAGCCUGAAUCAGUGUGUGUGUUAGUGGAAGCGUCUGGAAAGGCGCGCGAUACAGGGUGACAGCCCCGUACACAAAAAUGCACAUACUGUGAGCUCGAUGAGUAGGGCGGGACACGUGGUAUCCUGUCUGAAUAUGGGGGGACCAUCCUCCAAGGCUAAAUACUCCUGACUGACCGAUAGUGAACCAGUACCGUGAGGGAAAGGCGAAAAGAACCCCGGCGAGGGGAGUGAAAAAGAACCUGAAACCGUGUACGUACAAGCAGUGGGAGCACGCUUAGGCGUGUGACUGCGUACCUUUUGUAUAAUGGGUCAGCGACUUAUAUUCUGUAGCAAGGUUAACCGAAUAGGGGAGCCGAAGGGAAACCGAGUCUUAACUGGGCGUUAAGUUGCAGGGUAUAGACCCGAAACCCGGUGAUCUAGCCAUGGGCAGGUUGAAGGUUGGGUAACACUAACUGGAGGACCGAACCGACUAAUGUUGAAAAAUUAGCGGAUGACUUGUGGCUGGGGGUGAAAGGCCAAUCAAACCGGGAGAUAGCUGGUUCUCCCCGAAAGCUAUUUAGGUAGCGCCUCGUGAAUUCAUCUCCGGGGGUAGAGCACUGUUUCGGCAAGGGGGUCAUCCCGACUUACCAACCCGAUGCAAACUGCGAAUACCGGAGAAUGUUAUCACGGGAGACACACGGCGGGUGCUAACGUCCGUCGUGAAGAGGGAAACAACCCAGACCGCCAGCUAAGGUCCCAAAGUCAUGGUUAAGUGGGAAACGAUGUGGGAAGGCCCAGACAGCCAGGAUGUUGGCUUAGAAGCAGCCAUCAUUUAAAGAAAGCGUAAUAGCUCACUGGUCGAGUCGGCCUGCGCGGAAGAUGUAACGGGGCUAAACCAUGCACCGAAGCUGCGGCAGCGACGCUGAUGCGUUGUUGGGUAGGGGAGCGUUCUGUAAGCCUGUGAAGGUGUGCUGUGAGGCAUGCUGGAGGUAUCAGAAGUGCGAAUGCUGACAUAAGUAACGAUAAAGCGGGUGAAAAGCCCGCUCGCCGGAAGACCAAGGGUUCCUGUCCAACGUUAAUCGGGGCAGGGUGAGUCGACCCCUAAGGCGAGGCCGAAAGGCGUAGUCGAUGGGAAACAGGUUAAUAUUCCUGUACUUGGUGUUACUGCGAAGGGGGGACGGAGAAGGCUAUGUUGGCCGGGCGACGGUUGUCCCGGUUUAAGCGU
rnacentral:rRNA from 1 species